AUUGAACGCUGGCGGCAUGCCUUACGCAUGCAAGUCGAACGGCAGCACGGGUGCUUGCACCUGGUGGCGAGUGGCGAACGGGUGAGUAAUACAUCGGAACGUACCUUAUCGUGGGGGAUAACGCAGCGAAAGCUGUGCUAAUACCGCAUACGCCCUGAGGGGGAAAGCGGGGGAUCGCAAGACCUCGCGCGAUUAGAGCGGCCGAUGCCUGAUUAGCUUGUUGGUGGGGUAAAAGCCCACCAAGGCGACGAUCAGUAGCUGGUCUGAGAGGACGAUCAGCCACACUGGGACUGAGACACGGCCCAGACUCCUACGGGAGGCAGCAGUGGGGAAUUUUGGACAAUGGGGGCAACCCUGAUCCAGCAAUGCCGCGUGAGUGAAGAAGGCCUUCGGGUUGUAAAGCUCUUUUGUCAGGGAAGAAACACCGGCUCUAACACAGUCCGGGAAUGACGGUACCUGAAGAAUAAGCACCGGCUAACUACGUGCCAGCAGCCGCCGCAG
rnacentral:rRNA from 1 species